rnacentral:rRNA from 1 species
AGUGAACGCUGGCGGUAGGCCUAACACAUGCAAGUCGAACGGCAGCACAGUAAGAGCUUGCUCUUACGGGUGGCGAGUGGCGGACGGGUGAGGAAUAUAUCGGAAUCUACUUUUUCGUGGGGGUUAACGUAGGGAAACUUAAGCUAAUACCGCAUACGACCUACGGGUGAAAGCAGGGGAUCUUCGGACCUUGCGCGAUUGAAUGAGCCGAUGUCGGAUUAGCUAGUUGGCGGGGUAAAGGCCCACCAAGGCGACGAUCCGUAGCUGGUCGGAGAGGAUGGGCAGCCAGACUGGAACUGAGACACGGUCCAGACGCCUACGGGAGGCGGCAGUGGGGAAUAGUGGACAAGGGGCGCGAGCCUGAUCCAGCCAGACCGCGUGGGUGAAGAAGGCCGUCGGGUUGUAGAUCCCUGUUGUUGGGAAAGAAAAGCAGCAGGUUAAUACCCCGCUGUUCUGACGGUACCCAAAGAAUAAGCACCGGCUAACUUCGUGC